UUCCUAAGGUGAACCUGCGGAAGGAUCAUUCGCACAUAUGAUUCCACACCCAUAUACUUUCGCGGUGUUGGCGGUCACACGCCAAUUCCCUGAAGUACUGCGUCACCCUCCGGGGGGGCGUCUUUUCUUCUUGGUCCCACACUCGUGGUACUGCCGCGGUUUACCAGCGGUCUGCGAUUCUGUCGCUCCAUUACACCUACCACUUUCAGCGGUGGAUGUCUUGGCUCGAGUAGCGGUGAAGGACGCAGCGAGCUGCGAUACGCACAGCGAUGUGCGGAAUUCCGUGAACUGCAGAGUGUCGAACGCAUAGCGCCUAGCGGCUCUCCGCUAGGUACGUCUGGCUCGGUGUCUUGUUCUUUUUAUCCCCCGCGGACCUCGGUCCGUAGGGACGCUGCGCGUGCCACUUCUGUGAUCUGCGAGGUGGCAUGUUGGGAGUGCUCGGGUUUGCACAAGAGUCGCUCACAAGCGAGAACGUCCGGCUUCGGUUGGUGCUCUUUGUAGGACUCUCGUCGGCCUGAGUUUUGCGAGAUUCAUUUCGCACCCCUCUUGGACCCGACCUCAGACUGGGUUACCCGCUGAAUUUAAGCAUAUCAAUAAGCGGAG
rnacentral:rRNA from 1 species